AACGAACGCUGGCGGCAUGCCUAACACAUGCAAGUCGAACGAGACCUUCGGGUCUAGUGGCGCACGGGUGCGUAACGCGUGGGAACCUGCCCUUAGGUUCGGAAUAACUCCCCGAAAGGGGUGCUAAUACCGGAUAAUGUCUUCGGACCAAAGAUUUAUCGCCUUUGGAUGGGCCCGCGUUGGAUUAGCUAGUUGGUAGGGUAAAAGCCUACCAAGGCGACGAUCCAUAGCUGGUCUGAGAGGAUGAUCAGCCACACUGGGACUGAGACACGGCCCAGACUCCUACGGGAGGCAGCAGUGGGGAAUAUUGGACGAUGGGCGAAAGCCUGAUCCAGCAAUGCCGCGUGAGUGAUGAAGGCCUUUGGGUUGUAAAGCUCUUUUACCCGGGAUGAUAAUGACAGUACCGGGAGAAUAAGCUCCGGCUAACUCCGUG
rnacentral:rRNA from 1 species